rnacentral:rRNA from 1 species
CCUACGGGCGGCAGCAGUGAGGAAUAUUGGUCAAUGGACGAGAGUCUGAACCAGCCAAGUAGCGUGAAGGAUGACUGCCCUAUGGGUUGUAAACUUCUUUUAUAUGGGAAUAAAAUGUUCCACGUGUGGGAUUUUGUAUGUACCAUAUGAAUAAGGAUCGGCUAACUCCGUGCCAGCAGCCGCGGUAAUACGGUGGAUCCGAGCGUUAUCCGGAUUUAUUGGGUUUAAAGGGAGCGUAGGUGGAUUGUUAAGUCAGUUGUGAAAGUUUGCGGCUCAACCGUAAAAUUGCAGUUGAAACUGGCAGUCUUGAGUACAGUAGAGGUGGGCGGAAUUCGUGGUGUAGCGGUGAAAUGCUUAGAUAUCACGAAGAACUCCGAUGGCGAAGGCAGUUCACUGGACUGCAACUGACACUGAGGCUCGAAAGUGUGGGUAUCAAACAGGAUUAGAUACCCUGGUAGAC